GUGGGGAAUAUUGGUCAAUGGGCGAGAGCCUGAACCAGCCAAGUCGCGUGAAGGAUGAAGGUUCUAUGGAUUGUAAACUUCUUUUGUCCGAGGGUAAAAAAGGCCACGUGUGGCUUCUUGCAAGUAUCGGACGAAUAAGCAUCGGCUAACUCCGUGCCAGCAGCCGCGGUAAUACGGAGGAUGCGAGCGUUAUCCGGAUUUAUUGGGUUUAAAGGGUGCGUAGGUGGUUUGUUAAGUUUGUGGUGAAAGCGUGCGGCUCAACCGUACCAAGCCAUGAAAACUGGCGAACUUGAGUGCAAACGAGGUAGGCGGAAUGUGAUGUGUAGCGGUGAAAUGCUUAGAUAUGUCACAGAACCCCGAUUGCGAAGGCAGCUUACCAGCAUGCAACUGACACUGAGGCACGAAAGCGUGGGUAUCAAACAGG
rnacentral:rRNA from 1 species